rnacentral:rRNA from 1 species
UAACGGCGAGUGAAGCGGCAAAAGCUCAAAUUUGAAAUCCUGCGGGAGUUGUAAUUUGAAGGUUUCGGGUUCUGAGGCUGUGCGCGCCCAAGUCCAUUGGAACAUGGCGCCUGGGAGGGUGAGAGCCCCGUCCGGCGCGGCGCAGUCUUUUUUGCGACCCGAUUCCGACGAGUCGAGUUGUUUGGGAAUGCAGCUCAAAGUGGGUGGUAAAUUCCAUCUAAAGCUAAAUAUUGGCGAGAGACCGAUAGCGAACAAGUACAGUGAUGGAAAGAUGAAAAGCACUUUGAAAAGAGAGUGAAACAGUACGUGAAAUUGUUGAAAGGGAAGGGCUUGCAAGCAGACACGGUUUCGGCCGGGCCAGCAUCGGUUUGCCGGGGUGGACAAUGCGGCGGGAAUGUGGCG